UUAACCCUACGGGACGCAGCAGUCGGGAAUAUUGCGCAAUGGAGGAAACUCUGACGCAGUGACGCCGCGUGCAGGAAGAAGGUUUUCGGAUUGUAAACUGCUUUAGACAGGGAAGAAACAAGACAGUACCUGUAGAAUAAGCUCCGGCUAACUACGUGCCAGCAGCCGCGGUAAUACGUAGGGAGCAAGCGUUAUCCGGAUUUACUGGGUGUAAAGGGAGCGUAGACGGAAUUGCAAGUCUGAUGUGAAAAUCCGGGGCCCAACCCCGGAAGUGCAUUGGAAACUGUAUUUCUAGAGUGUCGGAG
rnacentral:rRNA from 1 species